GGCUUAGUGGCGCAGUGGUUAACGCAUCGCACUGUUAGUAUCCUCCGACUCCACAAUUUCACAUAACAUCUUCUAACCAAUUCACUAGUGUAAUGCGGAGAUCCCGAGUUCGACUCUCGGCUGAGCCU
rnacentral:tRNA from 1 species